rnacentral:rRNA from 1 species
AGAGUUUGAUCAUGGCUCAGAUUGAACGCUGGCGGCAGGCCUAACACAUGCAAGUCGAACGGUAACAGAAAGCAGCUUGCUGCUUUGCUGACGAGUGGCGGACGGGUGAGUAAUGUCUGGGAAACUGCCUGAUGGAGGGGGAUAACUACUGGAAACGGUAGCUAAUACCGCAUAACGUCGCAAGACCAAAGAGGGGGACCUUCGGGCCUCUUGCCAUCGGAUGUGCCCAGAUGGGAUUAGCUAGUAGGUGGGGUAAAGGCUCACCUAGGCGACGAUCCCUAGCUGGUCUGAGAGGAUGACCAGCCACACUGGAACUGAGACACGGUCCAGACUCCUACGGGAGGCAGCAGUGGGGAAUAUUGCACAAUGGGCGCAAGCCUGGUGCAGCCAUGCCGCGUGUAUGAAGAAGGCCUUCGGGUUGUAAAGUACUUUCAGCGGGGAGGAAGGGAGUAAAGUUAAUACCUUUGCUCAUUGACGUUACCCGCAGAAGAAGCACCGGCUAACUCCGUGCCAGCAGCCGCGGUAAUACGGAGGGUGCAAGCGUUAAUCGGAAUUACUGGGCGUAAAGCGCACGCAGGCGGUUUGUUAAGUCAGAUGUGAAAUCCCCGGGCUCAACCUGGGAACUGCAUCUGAUACUGGCAAGCUUGAGUCUCGUAGAGGGGGGUAGAAUUCCAGGUGUAGCGGUGAAAUGCGUAGAGAUCUGGAGGAAUACCGGUGGCUAAGGCGGCCCCCUGGACGAAGACUGACGCUCAGGUGCAAAAGCGUGGGGAGCAAAACAGGAUUAAUACCCUGUAAUCCAC